AUGAUGAUCGACACCGGCAGCGACGUGUCGUGGGUGCGCUGCAACUCCACGGACGGGGUGACGCUCUUCGACCCCAGCAAGUCGACCACGUACGCCCCGUUCUCCUGCAGCUCCGCGGCGUGCGCGCAGCUCGGCACCCAAGGCAACAACUGCUCAAGCUCAGGGUGCCAGUACAGCGUCCAGUACUUCGAUGGCUCGAACACCACCGGGACGUACGGCUCCGACACGCUGGCGCUGAGCGACGCCGACACCGUCACAGACUUCCACUUCGGUUGCAGCUACCACGAGGAGGAGAUGGACGAGGAAAAAUUCGACGGGCUCAUGGGGCUCGGCGGCGACGUGCCGUCGCUCGUGUCGCAGACGGCGGCGACGUACGGCAAGUCCUUCUCGUACUGCCUCCCGCCGACAAAUAGCACGUCCGGGUUUCUCACGUUCGGCGCGCCGAACGGGACGUCUGGCUUCGUGACGACGCCGAUGCUCAGAUACACACAGGCGCCGACAUUCUACGGCGUGCUCCUCAAGGACAUAUCCGUGGGGGGAACGCCGCUCAGAAUACAAUCAUCCGUUUUCUCCGGCGGUUCGGUGAUGACUCGGGCACUGUCAUCACGUGGCUACCAAGGAGGGCGUACUCGGCGCUCUCGUCGGCGUUCAGGUCCGGCAUGA
rnacentral:rRNA from 1 species